GCGGCCUCUCAUUUCCGUUUCCGGUGCGGCCGCGCGCGAGCGCAGCGGUGGGAGGCCGCGAUCAGCCGGUUGAGGCCCUAGGCUUGGCCUCACCACAAUGUGGCACGAGGCUCGGAAGCAUGAGCGGAAGCUUCGAGGCAUGAUGGUGGACUACAAGAAGAGAGCAGAGCGGAGGCGGGAGUACUAUGAAAAAAUCAAGAAGGACCCAGCCCAGUUCCUGCAGGUACAUGGCCGAGCUUGCAAGGUGCACUUGGAUUCUGCAGUUGCCCUGGCUGCCGAGAGCCCUGUUAACAUGAUGCCCUGGCAGGGGGACACCAACAACAUGAUUGACCGCUUCGAUGUUCGUGCCCACCUGGACCACAUACCUGACUACACGCCCCCACUGCUCACCACCAUCUCCCCAGAACAAGAGUCAGAUGAGCGGAAAUGUAACUACGAGCGCUACCGGGGCCUGGUACAGAACGACUUUGCUGGCAUCUCAGAGGAGCAGUGCCUGUACCAGAUCUACAUUGAUGAGUUGUACGGAGGCCUCCAGAGACCUAGUGAGGAUGAGAAGAAGAAGCUGGCAGAGAAGAAGGCUUCCAUUGGUUAUACCUAUGAGGAUAGCACAGUGGCUGAGGUAGAGAAGGCAGCAGAGAAGACUGAGGAGGAGGAGUCACCGGCUGAGGAGGAGAGCAACUCGGAUGAAGAUGAGGUCAUCCCCGACAUCGAUGUGGAGGUGGAUGUGGAUGAACUGAACCAGGAGCAGGUGGCAGAUCUCAACAAACAGGCCACAACCUAUGGCAUGGCCGACGGUGAUUUUGUCAGGAUGCUUCGGAAAGACAAGGAGGAGGCAGAGGCCAUCAAACAUGCCAAGGCCCUUGAGGAGGAGAAGGCCAUGUACUCGGGCCGUCGCUCCCGGCGCCAGCGGAGAGAAUUUCGUGAGAAGCGGCUUAGAGGCCGCAAGAUCAGCCCACCCAGCUAUGCCCGCCGAGAUAGCCCCACCUACGAUCCCUACAAGCGGUCGCCCUCAGAGUCCAGUUCUGAGUCCCGCUCUCGUUCCCGCUCCCCGACCCCAGGCCGUGAAGAGAAGAUCACAUUCAUCACCAGUUUUGGGGGCAGCGAUGAGGAGGCAGCUGCAGCUGCAGCUGCCGCAGCCGCAUCAGGGGCCACCACAGGGAAGCCCCCCGCACCCUCCCAGCCUGGCGGCCCUGCCCCGGGACGUAAUGCCAGUGCCCGCCGCCGCUCCUCCUCUUCCUCCUCCUCUUCUGCCUCGAGGACCUCCAGCUCCCGCUCCAGUUCCCGAUCCAGCUCCCGCUCCCACCGAGGUGGGGGCUACUACCGCUCCAGUCGCCAUGCCCGCUCCCGGUCCCGCUCCUGGUCCCGCUCCCGGUCCCGCUCCAGGCGUUAUUCCCGGUCCCGCAGCCGUGGCCGGCGACACUCAGGUGGAGGGUCCCGAGAUGGACACCGCUACUCCCGUUCACCUGCCAGGCGCGGUGGUUAUGGGCCUCGGCGCAGAAGCAGGAGCCGCUCUCGCUCAGGGGACCGCUACAGGCGGGGCGGCCGGGGCCCCAGGCACCAUAGCAGUAGCCGCAGCCGCAGCAGCUGGUCUCUCAGCCCAUCCCGCAGUCGCAGUCUGACUCGCAGCCGGAGCCACAGUCCCAGCCGGAGCCACAGCCCUAGCCACAGCCAUAGCCACAGCCGCAGCCGGAGCCGCAGCCAGAGUCACUCACCAUCACCCCCAAGAGAGAAGCUGACCAGGCCAGCGGCGUCCCCUGCUGUGGGCGAGAAGCUGAAAAAGACCGAACCUGCCGCUGGUAAAGAGACAGGAGCUGCCAAAGUCACCCAAGCUCACACCACAGGAGAAGCUGAAGCUGAGGAUGCAGAAGGCACUGAACAGGCAGUUCAAGGCGGAUAAAAAGGCAGCUCAGGAGAAGAUGAUACAGCAGGAACAUGAGCGGCAGGAGCGAGAAGAUGAGCUUCGAGCCAUGGCCCGCAAGAUCCGGAUGAAGGAGCGGGAGCGCCGAGAAAAGGAGAGAGAAGAAUGGGAGCGCCAGUACAGCCGGCAAAGCCGCUCACCCUCGCCUCGCUACAGUCGAGAAUACAGCUCUUCUCGAAGGCGCUCAAGGUCCCGAUCCAGAAGCCCCCAUUACCGACAUUAAGCAGAAGAGAAGGGGACAAUGGGGUGAGGAGUGGGGGCUGAAGCUGUGAUGCUGCUGGUUUUAUCUUUAGUGAAAUAAAAUCAAAUAUUAUUUAAUUCCCUUCA